AACACACCGUACACACGCAUUGGAAAAUGCUAGACUUACUACCAAAUUCUUACAACCAAGUUUUUACAACCUGAUUCCACAUCAGAGAUAUAUAUAUAUAUAUAUAUAUAUAUUUUUUUUUUAUCUUCUUUAAAAAUAAAAGUCUCUCUCUCUCUCGUUCUCUCCGGCCGGCGAAGAAGCUCGAGACGGCGGGAUUUGGAAGGCCGGCGGGAUCAGGAUGACGGGUCGGGACGCUAGGCCAGAUCUAGGCGGUUUUCUGGUCGGAUCUGGGUUUGGAUCGGGACGCAUGGCUGGAUCUGGGCGGUUCGGGAUCUGGACGGCGUGGUUUUCCGGCCGGAUCUGGGUUUCCGGCCGGAUCUCUCAAACCCACGCCGGUGUGCGUGGGUUCCGGCCGGAUCUUUCCCGAGCUCAGUCGCCGCUUGUCCAUGGCCUUCGAAAAUGGACGCUCGGCGGUGACUGUCUCGGAGGUGGCUGUGCCGGCGUGUUCCGGGGUAGUGGUGCCGGGUGGUUCGGGUGGGCGGUUUGUGUUCCUGGGUGGUGGUGCCGGGUGGUUUUGGUGGGCGGUUCGGGGCACCGGUCUUCCUUGUGUGCCUGAGAAGAAAACCAAAAAAAAAAAAUACUGAUGUGGAAUGCCACAUCAGGUUGUGGGGAUUUGGGUGUGGGGAGUUGUGUGUGAGUGUAGCAGCCCUCCACACGCAUUUAUCGACGGAAAUCGAGCAACGAGCAGACCUCCUUCGAGUCCGUCCUUUCCCCUCCCUCCACCCAAAAUUGACCAUCCGUGCGACGACAAACCGGCACCACUUACAGAGGAUGGAGGUCAAAUUGAGUUUACAUCCACUACUUUGGGAUGAGAAGAAGAAACUGGAGUUUCUAUUGCGUUCCUGUGAUAGAGUUAGUGACGAAAAAAGCGAAGAUGAAAAGCAAAUCAACUCAAUCAUUGAAUUCGAGUCUGUUGAUUGAUUUGAAAGCAGCUAAAGGAAAAAUAGUUGGGAAUAGUUCAAGUUGGAAGGCAAUUGUGAAACGAAAGCUGCUUAAUUUUGGUCCAACUAACAAAUAUAACGAUGAUGUGGCGGACCUGCUCCUAUUCAUAAGAAAUCGGAUGGCUCAUUACUCUGAAGACCCGAUGUUACACAAGUGGGAUGGAGAACUCUACACUGCUGUAUAUCAGUCUUUUGAUGGGGAUUUUCCUAAUCUAUUGAUAGAAGUUUAUAAUGUUAUUUUGCAACAUUGUAGCACUGAAACACUUAAAAUCAGUGCUAGACUUGUAACAAGUCAUCAUGAAAUGUCGAUUUUUUCUUUGGAAUGUAUUUGAGACUUGUUCAGAUAUUUGAGUUGUUUAGCCACAUAUUUAGUUGUUCAGAUAUUUUGAAAUGAACAAUGGCAUUAUUUGAUCA